ACCCUUGCGCUUGGGGCAAUGUUGCAGCCUGUGAGGGUCUACCGAGGCGCACCAAUUAUGGUUGAAAACUAACUUCCAAGCUCCCUUGUUCUGGCCCCUCGGGGUCGAGACAAGAAUUUCUGAAAGCUGAGCCUUAGUUCAG
rnacentral:snRNA from 1 species